GAUCAUGGCUCAGGACGAACGCUGGCGGCGUGCUUAACACAUGCAAGUCGAACGAAGAGCGAUGGAAGCUUGCUUCUAUCAAUCUUAGUGGCGAACGGGUGAGUAACGCGUAAUCAACCUGCCCUUCAGAGGGGGACAACAGUUGGAACGACUAGCUAAUACCGCAUACGAUCCAACCUCGGCAUCGAGGAUGGAUGAAAGGUGCCUCUAUUAUAAGCUAUCACUGAAGGG
rnacentral:rRNA from 1 species